UCGAUACUAAUGGAUGAUGUAGCGCAAAAACUACCCAGGGAAAAAUCCUUAAAAAUGCAUGUGAUCAAAUGUAAUGAAUCUAGAAGUAAUGGCAUGCUCUCAACACUCUAUACAUCAUAAGGAACACCUCCAACCCGAUAAGCUAUAUCACUUAUUUGAAUAUGUAGUUGCAUCACAGACAACAACAACUUCAUUAUGAUCUCAACGAUCAAAUCAGUAAUAAUAACAACAUAUAUAAAUCCAGCUACUUUAUAAAUAGGGGAGACUUGUCCCCCCGAUAUCCCGCACCUAAUUCAUUCACUUAAUAUAUUUGUUAUAUGUUUAUGUCCCGCCUUAAUUUGGCAUGAGAGUGUAUUUACAAGUACACCCUCAAUUUACAGUUGGAGCGUGCGAGAAAAAGGAGUGAGAACCAAAGCAUUGUAGUAUAAAUUUAUUGAAAUAUCUUAUCACAUUUUAGAGGCUUUAAUAAUAUAUACUAAUCCCAAACAAUGAAGAGUUUAACUACUCAUUUGACAAGAAGAUAUAGAGAUUGAAAUAGUACAUAUGAAAGAGUAUGAGAUUGAGAGAAGCUUCAACUCUAGUUCCCUAGGAAGAUCUCCAAAAUGUUAGAACCUUUAUUUUGAUGCCUAAAGCCACUUAAUAAGUUUCAAAAUUUGUAAUGUUGUUGCAAUGUGCUACAGCCGUAUUGCUAGGCGUGACAUCACAAAUAUGUAUUUAUUUGAAAAUUUUGAAUUUUUCUUUUGCGAGUUGAUGUUGUCG
rnacentral:lncRNA from 1 species